UACGGGGGGGGCAAGCGUUGUUCGGAAUUACUGGGCGUAAAGGGUUCGUAGGUGGCCAACUAAGUCAUACGUGAAAUCCCUCAGCUUAACUGGGGAACUGCGUCUGAUACUGGUUGGCUUGAGUGCAGGAGAGGAACGCGGAAUUCAUGGUGUAGCAGUGAAAUGCGUAGAGAUCAUGAGGAAGACCAGUGGCGAAGGCGGGUCUCUGGACAGUUCCUGACACUGAGGCACGAAGGCCAGGGGAGCAAACGGG
rnacentral:rRNA from 1 species